UGAUGAAGCAGGGUGCACCUGAGAGGGCCAGGAAUGUUAGCAGCCGUGUCCUAUGGCGUGGGCUCCCUCCCUCCGUUUCCAAAGGGGCAGAUACAGGAGAAGGUGGAGGGCUCUGCACAGCUGCCUUUGGUGCCUGAAGUCCCACUGAGGCAAAUCUGGGCCACACAGCCUCACUCCAUUACCGCCUUUAUGAGUGAUUUCUGGAGAUAUUCCAAGCCCAGCACAUUCUUAUCCUCAGGUAUUUUAGAGAUCUAUUCGUAGGGCACAAAUCAUCCCCAAACUUAGCAGCUUAAAACAAU
rnacentral:lncRNA from 10 species